rnacentral:rRNA from 1 species
AUGAAGCUGUCGGCGCUUCUCUCCGUCGUGUGCUGCGCCGUCGGGCUCUUUCUUGCUCUCAGUGCUGCGCAUGUGGAGUCUGCUCGGCACACCUUACACGCCCCGGAAACCAUGUUCGUCUUCGGGGAUUCAUUCGUCGAUAAUGGCAACCUUCCGCGAUCGGACCUCGCAGCUGAGUCGCGCCAAUGGUACUAUCCCUAUGGCAUCUCAUACCACAAGGACGAUGGAUCGGGUCGGCGACACAAUGCAACCGGCCGCUUCUCCGACUUCAUGGUCCAAUCGGAUUUCGUUGCGAAGAUGUUGGGUCUUCCCCAGUCCCCCCCGGCUUUCAGUAGAGCACAAAAACGCUAUUGCCACCCAACCGGCGUGAACUUUGCCUUUGGUCGCGCCGCCGUGUACCACAGUCCUGAAGUGAUGAUAACCGUGGGCGAGCAGGUCGACCUGUUCGAGAGUAUGGUCAAAAGCGGAACUAUCUCAAAAAAUAGAGUUACCCACUCUGUCGCACUCCUCGCCAUCUCAGGCAACGACUACAAGACCUAUUACGACGCCGGCAUACUCGACCUGACCCCUGUGAUUGAGGGCUUGGGGAACCAGACCGUGGCCAUCGUGGACCGGCUGCGAGCCCUUGGGGUGAAGAGGAUUCUGCUGAACAACCUACACCCUAUUGGUUGCACGCCAUUGUGGUCCAGGGCGAGCAAGUACAAAGAGUGCGAUUACAUAGGCAACAAGGCUGCAUUGCAGCACAACAAAAUCCUGAAACAAAAGCUAGGCAGGAAGAAAGGUGUCCUCAUAGUCGAUCUGAACACCGCAUUUGGCAACAUCAUUGACCAUGGUUCAAAGUCGUACAAGCAGUUCAAGAAUACGCGGAAGCCGUGCUGCGAGGGCUAUAGAGCUAACAACUACUGUGGGCGGCAGGCCAAGAACUAUCCGCCCCUUUACUCCCUAUGCCCGGACCGUAGCCAAUUCUUCUUCUGGGACGAUGCACACCCCACACAUGCUGGCUGGGAGACCAUCAUGAAGCAGCUGGAACAUCCCAUCAAAAAGUUCUUGGGGAUCGUCUAG